AGUUUAUCAAGUUCAUAAAGUUGCAAGUUUAUAAAGUAAGACCGAUGCCGGAUUUUAGAGGCUCGCUUUUCUUACUUGAUGAACUUUAUAACUUUUUACUUUAUAAACUGAUUUCGCGUUUCGCGUGAUGCGGCGGUUGAUGUUACUUGAAGAAUAAGGGGUUACUAAACUCGUGCCAGCAGUAGCGGUAAUACGAGUGCCCCGAGCGUUAUCCGGAAUUAUUGGGCGUAAAGGGUGUGUAGGCGGCUUUGUUAGUCUUCUGUUAAAUUCUUCGGCUUAACCGGAGUACGGCAGGGGAAACGGCAAAGCUAGAGGGUGCGAGAGGUGUACGGAACUCUAGGUGUAGGGGUGAAAUCCGUUGAUAUCUAGGGGAACACCAAAUGCGAAGGCAGUACACUGGCGCAAUCCUGACGCUGAGGCACGAAAGCCAGGGUAUCGAAGCGGAUUAGAUACCCGCGUAGUCCUGGCCCUAAACGAUGUUCAUUAGCUAUUCGGAGUAUCGACCCUCUGAGUGGCGUAGCUAACGCGUUAAAUGAACCGCCUGGGUAGUACGGCCGCAAGGCUAAAACUCAAAGGAAUAGACGGGGACUUGCACAAGCGGUGGAUCAUGUGGUUUAAUUCGAUGCUAAACGAACAACCUUACCAUGGUUAGACAUUCAACUGAACUCUGGCAGAAACGCCAGGGGCCUCACAAGGGCAGUUGGACAGGUGCUGCAUGGUCGUCGUCAGUUCGUGGUUUGAACAUAAUUCGGACCCUUCUCGAGAGAUCGAGAUGAAAAAAUCAGCUCAUAACGGGGGAACCCAAGACAGAUAAUGGUAUAAUUAUAGGUAUGGGUAAUCCCGUGGGAAGUUUACUAAUGCAAAAUGUAAAUAUCAAAAAUCAAAAUGACAGUUAAAAAUGCAAAAUGAAAGAGAAAAGAAAAGUCUCUGGAAUUUUAAAACUUUACAUUAUCAUUUUACACUUUGAUUUUUCAAUUUUGAUUUGGUAUAACCCCGUAACGACUCGAUCCUAAAUGGAUCGGAGUUAAGAAUAAAUUUCUUAGCUAACACGCUGAUCCCCUCCUCUGCCUAUUGGCGGAAAGGGUGAAGGUAUAGUCUGGUUUCUAAAGAAAUUUAGAAAGUUUAUGGAAUUGUUCCCUUAAGUGGGGAAACGAACGCAACCCUCGUUGCCUGUUACAAGUGUCAGGCGAGACCGCCCCGCACCAAACUCGGAGAGUUUGGUGGCGGAAAUACGAAGCACGAAAUCCGAAAUUCUAAACAAUAUCUAAAUUUAAAUUAAGAAAAUCUCAAACGGAGUUCCGUUUUGGGUUUAUAAUUUGUAGUUUUGGAUUUGUUUCGAGUUUUGAUAUUCGGAUUUCGAAUUUCCCAAACCAACCCUGUUGGUUUGGUGCGGGGAGGAAGGCGAGGAUGACGCCAGAUCAGCAUGGCCCUCUGAUACCAUGGGCUACACACGUGAUACAAUGCCGACUACAACGCGUUUUCGCGACGGGGCAACCCUGAGCUAAUCGUAAUAAAAGUCGGCCCAGUUCGGAUUGAGGUCUGCAACUCGACCUCAUGAAGUUGGAAUCGCUAGUAAUCGCGGAACAGCUUGCCGCGGUGAAUACGUUCUCAAGUCUUGUCCUCGGGUCGCCAUGCGAUCGAGUACGCU
rnacentral:rRNA from 1 species